rnacentral:rRNA from 1 species
GAUGAACGCUGGCGGCGUGCCUAAUACAUGCAAGUCGAGCGAACGGACGAGAAGCUUGCUUCUCUGAUGUUAGCGGCGGACGGGUGAGUAACACGUGGAUAACCUACCUAUAAGACUGGGAUAACUUCGGGAAACCGUAGCUAAUACCGGAUAAUAUUUUGAACCGCAUGGUUCAAAAGUGAAAGACGGUCUUGCUGUCACUUAUAGAUGGAUCCGCGCUGCAUUAGCUAGUUGGUAAGGUAACGGCUUACCAAGGCAACGAUGCAUAGCCGACCUGAGAGGGUUAUCGGCCACACUGGAACUGAGACACGGUCCAGACUCCUACGGGAGGCAGCAGUAGGGAAUCUUCCGCAAUGGGCGAAAGCCUGACGGAGCAACGCCGCGUGAGUGAUGAAGGUCUUCGGAUCGUAAAACUCUGUUAUUAGGGAAGAACAUAUGUGUAAGUAACUGUGCACAUCUUGACGGUACCUAAUCAGAAAGCCACGGCUAACUACGUG